rnacentral:snRNA from 1 species
CGUUUGAUUCCAAUACAAUAAUU